UGAACAUAUAAGUUUACUAAACUAAGGAAUUUUUAAAUAUUGGAUCCAAAAAGUUAUCUUUUGAAUUCUCCAACUGAUUGAUUAGUGUUUCGAGUGAUUUUGCUAAAAAAAAUAACCUAGUGAGAAUUAUUAGAUUGUAUUAAAGGACUUAAACAUUUAAUUUAGAUGGUGAUCCAUAUUCAGCAUCAGCAUCACUGUUUAAAUAGCUUGGAUGGAUGAAACAAAAACAACAACCACCACAAAAUAGUGAAACAAAUAAGAGGCCCUUCAGGAGAUUCAACCGUAAAUGCACCAGUAAAAGACAACAAACCAUCCUGUCAAGAUUGUAAGAACAAUAAGUGCAAAGCAUUCAAAGAAGAGGAGAUUCAACAAGUGUUAUCAUCAGUCAGAGGUAAUGGUACAUUAUAUUAUAAACUUAAGUUUACCGUUAAAAUCAAGAAACACAGAAUGGUAUUUUCCAUGCAAGGUCCCAGCAAAACUAAUACGAGAAUUUCAUGCACAACGUACAAUGAGUGGUAAGAAAAGAAAAUGGCCAUUACAGCAGAAUAAACACAAAUUUUCCACAAAACCAGAUCCAGCUGUUAAUAGUGUACAAUAUAUUUCAACUAAAGUCACAGCCGACAUAAGCACUCAAACUGAAACCAUCAAUGGACAAGAUCAAAGAAUUGAACAUCAACAGUUAUUAAUUAGCCAUAAGAAUUGUUAACCAUACUUUUUAAUUAAAUCUAGAAAUACUGCAAAAUAUGAAUCAAUGACUUCAGCACCAAAUACUGCAC
rnacentral:lncRNA from 1 species